CACGUAGGGUGCGAGCGUUGUCCGGAAUUAUUGGGCGUAAAGAGCUCGUAGGCGGUUUGUCGCGUCGGGAGUGAAAACCUCGGGCUUAACUCGGGGCUUGCUUUCGAUACGGGCAGACUAGAGGUAUGCAGGGGAGAACGGAAUUCCUGGUGUAGCGGUGAAAUGCGCAGAUAUCAGGAAGAACACCCGUGGCGAAGGCGGCUCUCUGGGACGGUACUGACGCUGAGACGCGAAAGCGUGGGGAGCGAACAGG
rnacentral:rRNA from 1 species